GGGCGGUGCGCGGGCGGGAUGGCUUCAUCAUUUUGCUUGGACGUUCGGGAGGAUCGCCUGCAGUGCCGGUCGCGUAGUGCUUGAGGCUGGAGCCGGCAGGUGAAGCUCUCACCCUUGGAGGCCUGAAUAGAGCCAGGCGAAAGGCAACUGUAACCCGGCUGUGGGGCCGCAGCCGCCCGUGCGCGGUGCCCUGCUGAGAGCCGCGGAGGUGCGAGGGGACUGACAGAGGACUACAUAUCUCAGCAUGCCCCGCGGGGGGCUCCCUGCCGGAAGCCGCAUGCCGAGGCGCGGGGCAGGCUGGGAGCGGUAGGCGACGGUGACCCGCGUGGCGCUGCCGGGCCCGCGCCAUUUUGCUCCCCGCCCGUCGCGGCCGGGGCUGGUGCGGGGGUGCUGCCCCUGCUGUGCCCUCAGCCGCGGCUGCGGCUGCCCCUUGCACCGAGCGACAGCCUUCAGGCGUCUGGCUUCGUGCAUAAAACGCUGGAUAAGGCGGAACCACCUUGCUCGUGUGGCAAAGGGUUGGUGCGUGUGCUUGCGUUACCUGUACGUCUUUCUGGAGGGCUCAGCGACUGGCAUCACGGCAUUGCUCCACAGCAGAAGACUUCUAAAAGCACUGUGAAAUCCACAUAGUAUCUCAAGGAAAAAGACCCAUAAUAUUUAGGUGUGAUGGAGAGGAGGUUUUCAGUGGUGUCGAGUACAUUGUACAUUAAGCGUUUCAUGGAAGGACCAUCACAAGUAGAAGAAUACUUCGUACAUGCAAGUGGAUUUUCCUGAAAGCUGAAGUGGCAUGAACAGUUUCUAGUAAUGGGAAUGUGACAUGUCCUGAAGAAAGAUUUCCUCGAGACAGGAAAUAAAACAGCAGAGAUGCUUGAAGGCUGUGUCUGAAUAGAAGGAAAAUGUGUUUUAUAGAAAACAAGCAGGAACAACUGCUUUUGGCUUAUUCAGUGAUGAAUUGGAGCACUUUGUCAGAACUGCCUGACAAAUGUGGAUGAUGUAACCAGAAGGAGGUGUAACACCUGAAGAGAUAUUGUGGCUUGGAGUUCAUGCUUUUAAAAAGCCUGCUAAAAUAGCUGCAAUUUUGUUCAGUAGAUAAUGUCUCUGCGUAUUUAAAACACCAUCUUUCCAAAAUACUGAACUGUCUUCUGGUGAAAGUGUAGCAGUAAUAUUAGGGAAAGGAGUACAUGAAAAACUCCUUGAUUAUUUACCCUUUUAAAAUACCGUAUGGGUACACAGUCUUGCAGAUACUAGAGGUCUCUGAUAACUCAGGAGUGGAGCUCACAGGCAGGCCCUGUAAAGACAGGGUGAAAUCAAAGAAGACGACAAUAUCUACAGCUUGCAUCACUGUAUCUAGCAAGGGAGUGAGGGGUUGGGGUUUUAUGAACUGCUGCUUCAGCAGGAGAAGAGCAGUACCACAACAGUGGAACUGUCCUUUGAGGAAUACACUGGCAACAGUACUUGCUUGCUCUCUGGAGGAAAGAGGUUGGUAGUGAGAAAAGAGAGUUACAUACAUUGGAACUUGGGCUUUUGUCUUGGUUUGAAAAGACAGGUAUCUGCUAAGGAAGGCAGAAACCUUCCUUAAAAUGGAAAAUGUAAAUCCCCUCCCUCCAAAUUAUUAUAAUUUUGAAAUUAAGGGGCUCUCAGGCAAAGAUAAGGGAGUAGGAAGGACAGUCUUAGGAAAAAUAAAAAAGAAGUAAUACAAAAAAAAAGACAGAAUACACCCUGACGCCCUGUGGGUCAGGGUGUUGGUAGCAGUCCAACUGGAUGGUGGCUGCAGUUCUCCUGGAGUGACAGGUGUGGUUCUGUUGAAGCAGUGAUCCUGUAGCAGAGUGUUUUCCUCUGAAGUUCCAGUGGUGGUGUAGAUGGCCCUGGUCUUCCUCUGGGAAUCCAGUGGAGAAGAAAGCUGCUCCUCUGGGAAUCCAGUGGGAAAAGGCUGCCUUGUGGUAUUCCAAGUCUCAGAUUAUAUCCAGGUAGGAAUGCUUGGCUCCUCCCCCUGGGCAGAGCAUCUCCCAAUGAGAUGUUGUAAUUUUAUUGGUCAUGGAAUCACACUCAGUGGCCCAUUAACAGAAGAUAUUUCCCCCAGAGGGAGGAUUGGAUGUGGAAGAGAUAAAGAAAAACUGACCAAUUAACAAAAUAUAACUGCCACACCUCUAACAGAUGGCAAUAGAAUACAAACCCCCAGCUACAUCUUGCAACCUAAGCUUUAAACAGUCACUGCAAAAGUACUGGUGCUGUAAUCCAAGUAGCAGCAUAUUUGCUGUAUUCAGCAAACUCCCUUCCACAGAGGAAUGAAGGAUCGUAAAUUGGUUGCCAAGUAAAUUUAAAGACGACUCACUGUGUACAUAAGAUAAAAUUUGCCUUGAGGCAUGACUUUCAAGCCUUAUUGUCAGGAAUUCUUUAUAAAGGCAGAAACAUGACAGUAGCAUAAUUCCUACUAUAACUGAAUCAUUUUGAAAUAAUCCAAAAUAUAUAAAAGAGCCCUAUAGCUCAUGGGGUGUACCUGUUCAUCAAUGACAAAGUCUGUGUAAAGUCCAAUUUUCUGUCAAAGUAGUAUGGAAGUAUAAACAUUACCAGGAACAGCACAUAAAGCAUUGGAAAUGUCAAAAAUACCUAUCCAUCAUGCUACUGAAGUGGAUGCUAAGGAACUGACUAAACUCCAGGAGUGCAUUGGCUCACAGAACAUCUGUGGUUUGCUUAUUAAGCAGUGGCCAGCUACUUCAGCUAAAGGCUGCUCCUUUUGAGCAAGGAAUGGUAAAUCAGUCUACUGAAUAUCAACAUCUGCAGAAAUAAACUCAAAAAGAGCUUUCUCUUCAUUGCUUUCAAUAAUAACUUGUUUCUGUUAACAAAUGUUGCUAGGAAUGGUGCGUAUUUUUAUGUGCCAUGUUUUGUACAUGCUUUUGAAUAAAGAUAAGGAUAUUAAAUCAUGGCUGUUGCACGUCAGCUGUGGAUCACA